rnacentral:rRNA from 1 species
UAGCAAGGUUAACCGAAUAGGGGAGCCGAAGGGAAACCGAGUCUUAACUGGGCGUUAAGUUGCAGGGUAUAGACCCGAAACCCGGUGAUCUAGCCAUGGGCAGGUUGAAGGUUGGGUAACACUAACUGGAGGACCGAACCGACUAAUGUUGAAAAAUUAGCGGAUGACUUGUGGCUGGGGGUGAAAGGCCAAUCAAACCGGGAGAUAGCUGGUUCUCCCCGAAAGCUAUUUAGGUAGCGCCUCGUGAAUUCAUCUCCGGGGGUAGAGCACUGUUUCGGCAAGGGGGUCAUCCCGACUUACCAACCCGAUGCAAACUGCGAAUACCGGAGAAUGUUAUCACGGGAGACACACGGCGGGUGCUAACGUCCGUCGUGAAGAGGGAAACAACCCAGACCGCCAGCUAAGGUCCCAAAGUCAUGGUUAAGUGGGAAACGAUGUGGGAAGGCCCAGACAGCCAGGAUGUUGGCUUAGAAGCAGCCAUCAUUUAAAGAAAGCGUAAUAGCUCACUGGUCGAGUCGGCCUGCGCGGAAGAUGUAACGGGGCUAAACCAUG